GUUUGUUAGAGUUAUUUGUUAGAGAGGUUUGUUAGAGUUAUUUGUUGGAAGUUUGUUAGAGUUAAUUGUUAGAGGUGUAUGUUAAAGUUAGUGCGCCCUUGCGAACUUAGCCUGGGACCGAAAGGUGCCCAGUAUCCGUCUGCUUCCACGUGGAGGCAUCGCAUAGGACUUGUUGUGGAGAGGCUAUGUACUGGCUGGGGAAGACAUAAAAAUUCCUCCCUUUUCGCAUUGCUGCUAGCCAGCGGUGAUGGCUGAAAGCGAGAGGUGACAUGCACACAGACACUAAUGCCAACACACUAGACGCGUCA